UACGGAAGGCAGCAGUGGGGAAUAUUGCACAAUGGGCGAAAGCCUGAUGCAGCUAUGCCGCGUGUAUGAAGAAGGCCUUAGGGUUGUAAAGUACUUUCAUCGGGGAGGAAAAAACAAAACUAAUAAUUUUAUUUCUUGACGUUACCCGAAAAAGAAGCACCGGCUAACUCCGUGCUAGCAGCCGCGGUAAUACGGAGGGUGCUAGCGUUAAUCAGAAUUACUGGGCGUAAAGAGCACGUAGGUGGUUUUUUUAAGUCAGAUGUGAAAUCCCUGGGCUUAACCUAGGAACUGCAUUUUGAAACUGAAAUACUAGAGUAUCGUAGAGGGAGGUAGAAUUCUAGGUGUAGCGGUGAAAUGCGUAGAUAUCUGGAGGAUACCUGUGGCGAAAGCGGCCUCCUAAACGAAUACUGACACUGAGGUGCGAAAGCGUGGGGAGCAAACAGGGAUUAGAUAUC
rnacentral:rRNA from 1 species